rnacentral:rRNA from 1 species
UACGUAGGUGGCAAGCGUUGUCCGGAUUUACUGGGCGUAAAGGAUGCGUAGGCGGAUGUUUAAGUGAGAUGUGAAACCCCACGGCUCAACCGUGGAACUGCUUGGUAUACUGCGGGUCUUGAGCCACCUAGGGGCAAGUGGAACAAACGGUGGAGCGGUGAAAUGCGUAGAUAUCGUUUGGAACGCCAAUGGUGAAAACAACUUGCUGGGGGUGUGCUGACGCUGAGACACGAAAGCCAGGGGAGCAAACGGG